rnacentral:tRNA from 1 species
GGAGGCGUGGCUGAGCGGCUGAAAGCAGCACACUGCUAAUGUGUUAGGGGCCAAAAGCCCCUCGCAGGUUCGAAUCCUGCCGCCUCCG